rfam:Anoxybacillus flavithermus strain 25 c27, whole genome shotgun sequence.
UGGGCAGUAUCUUUGUAAGAACUGCACCACGCAUGGACGAUACGUUGAAAAUGAUUUCUGCCUUGAUCCGAUGAAGCGGACGGGGACAGAGGG